rnacentral:rRNA from 1 species
AGAACGAACGUUGGCGGCGUGGAUUAGGCAUGCAAGUCGGGGGAAUCCCAGCAAUGGGGGAACCGGCGUAAGGGGCAGUAAGGCGUGGGUACCUACCCUGGGGUUCGGGAUAGCUGUCCGAGAGGGCAGGUAAUACCGGAUGACCUGGUGACAGCAAAGAUUUAUCGCCCUGGGAGGGGCCCACGUGAUAUUAGGUAGUUGGUGAGGUAACGGCUCACCAAGCCAUAGAUGUCUAGCGGGUGUGAGAGCACGACCCGCGCCACUGGCACUGAGACACUGGCCAGACACCUACGGGUGGCUGCAGUCGAGGAUCUUCGGCAAUGGGCGCAAGCCUGACCGAGCGACGCCGCGUGGGCGAUGAAGGCCUUCGGGUUGUAAAGCCCUGUCGGGGGGAGAAAAGGGUAAAACUUUGAUCUAUCCCCGGAGGAAGCACGGGCUAAGUUCGUGCCAGCAGCCGC